AAUAAGUGUAGUUUUGCACUAUUCAUGUUCAACGUUUGACCGUCCGUCUUAUUUGAAAAUUUUUUAUGAUUAUUAUUUUUAUUGCUAUUAGAUGAUAAAACAUGAAUAGUACUUUAUGUGUGACUAAAUGUUUUUAAUUUUUUCAUAAAUUUUUCAAAUAAGACGGACGGUCAAACGUUGAACAUGAAUAGUGCAAAACUGCACUUAUU
rfam:Oryza sativa Japonica Group DNA, chromosome 6, cultivar: Nipponbare, complete sequence.